GAGGGUUUAGCUCAGUGGUAGAGCAUGUGCUUAGCCUGCUUGAGGUCCUGGGUUCAAUCCCCAUUACCUCCA
rfam:Camelus ferus unplaced genomic scaffold scaffold365, whole genome shotgun sequence.